CAUAUCAAUAAGCGGAGGAAAAGAAACUAACAAGGAUUCCCCUAGUAACUGCGAGUGAAGCGGGAAAAGCUCAAAUUUAAAAUCUGGCAGUCUUUGGCUGUCCGAGUUGUAAUCUAGAGAAGUGUUAUCCGUGCUGGACCGUGUACAAGUCUCCUGGAAUGGAGCGUCAUAGAGGGUGAGAAUCCCGUCUUUGACACGGACUGCCAGGACUUUGUGAUGCGCUCUCAAAGAGUCGAGUUGUUUGGGAAUGCAGCUCAAAAUGGGUGGUAAAUUCCAUCUAAAGCUAAAUAUUGGCGAGAGACCGAUAGCGAACAAGUACCGUGAGGGAAAGAUGAAAAGAACUUUGGAAAGAGAGUUAAACAGUACGUGAAAUUGCUGAAAGGGAAACGCUUGAAGUCAGUCACGUUGUCCAGGGAUCAACCUUGCUUUUGCUUGGUGCAUUUUCUGGUUGACGGGUCAGCAUCAAUUUUGACUAUUGGAAAAAGAUUAGGGGAAUGUGGCAUCUUCGGAUGUGUUAUAGCCCUUGGUUGUAUACAAUGGUUGGGAUUGAGGAACUCAGCACGCCGCAAGGCCGGGUUUUUAACCACGUACGUGCUUAGGAUGCUGGCAUAAUGGCUUUAAUCGACCCGUCUUGAAACACGGACCAAGGAGUCUAACAUGCCUGCGAGUGUUUGGGUGGAAAACCCGAGCGCGCAAUGAAAGUGAAAGUUGAGAUCCCUGUCGUGGGGAGCAUCGACGCCCGGACCAGACCUUUUGUGACGGUUCCGCGGUAGAGCAUGUAUGUUGGGACCCGAAAGAUGGUGAACUAUGCCUGAAUAGGGUGAAGCCAGAGGAAACUCUGGUGGAGGCUCGUAGCGAUUCUGACGUGCAAAUCGAUCGUCAAAUUUGGGUAUAGGGGCGAAAGACUAAUCGAACCAUCUAGUAGCUGGUCU
rnacentral:rRNA from 1 species